UACAACAUAGCAUUAAUGCACUGGAUCCCAUUAGAAAUUUGCACUUAAGCGUGCUCAAGCUAGAGUAGUACUAUGAUGGGUGACCACCUAGGAAGUCUUAGUGUUUUAC
rnacentral:rRNA from 1 species